CUACGUGCCAGCAGCCGCGGUAAUACGGAAGGUUCGGGCGUUAUCCGGAUUUAUUGGGUUUAAAGGGAGCGUAGGCCGUGGAUUAAGUGUGUUGUGAAAUGUAGACGCUCAACGUCUGACUUGCAGCGCAUACUGGUUUCCUUGAGUACGCACAACGUUGGCGGAAUUCGUCGUGUAGCGGUGAAAUGCUUAGAUAUGACGAAGAACUCCGAUUGCGAAGGCAGCUGACGGGAGCGCAACUGACGCUUAAGCUCGAAGGUGCGGGUAUCGAACAGGAUUAGAUACCCUGGUAGUCCGCACAGUAAACGAUGGAUGCCCGCUGUUGGUACCUGGUAUCAGCGGCUAAGCGAAAGCAUUAAGCAUCCCACCUGGGGAGUACGCCGGCAACGGUGAAACUCAAAGGAAUUGACGGGGGCCCGCACAAGCGGAGGAACAUGUGGUUUAAUUCGAUGAUACGCGAGGAACCUUACCCGGGCUUGAA
rnacentral:rRNA from 1 species